UUCUCUCUAAACAGAUGUGGUGAGAUGGAGAGGGCUGGAGCAGAUGUGCCGAGAUGGACAGAUGUGGCGAGAUGGACAGAUAUGGUGAGAUGGGACAGAUGUGGUGAGAUGGAGAGGGCUGGGGCAGAUGUGGUGAGGUGGGCAGAUGUGGCGAGAUGGAGAGGGCUGGGACAGAUGUGGUGACAUGGACAGAUAUGGCGAGAUGGAGAGGGCUGGGGCAGAUGUGGCGAGAUGGGCAGAUGUGGCGAGAUGGAGAAGGCUGGGCAGAUGUGGUGAGAUGGACAGAUGUGGCAAGAUGGAGAGGGCUGGGGCAGAUGUGGCAAGGUGGGCAGAUGUGGUGAGGUGGAGAGGGCUGGGGCAGAUGUGGCGAGAUGGGCAGAUGUGGUGAGAUGGACAGAUGUGGCAAGAUGGAGAGGGCUGGGGCAGAUGUGGCGAGAUGGACAGAUGUGGCGAGAUGGAGAGGGCUGGGGCAGAUGUGGCGAGGUGGGCAGAUGUGGCAAGAUGGAGAGGCCUGGGGUAUGUCUAGUAAGUGGCACAACAUCAGCUCCAUAUACCAAAUGGUACAUCGUGAGACAUGGCAACCUAGGGUAGCGAGAACCACCUCCUCCUC